GUGAGGGUGAUCUUGCUACCACAUCUGACACCUCAUUGAUCGCCAGGGUUGAUUUAGUUGAUCUGGCUGGCUAGGUGGGUGUCCCCUUCCUCCUUCACUGUUCCAUGUGUGUCCCUCCCGAAGCUGCACACUCAGUUGAAGAGGACGACCUUCUCCUAAUAGAGGAGGACCAGUCUUCAGUCAAGGGUAUGCAAGUAGCUGCGAUCCCCUGCUAGAACAUCCAAACAGGCUCUCAAGGUUAAUUUCUUUAAACUUGGGGUAACCACGAGUGUAACUCUCUUCAUCACACAUUUAUCCUCUGAAUUUCUUGG
rnacentral:snRNA from 1 species